UACAGAGGUCUCAAGCGUUGUUCGGAUUCAUUGGGCGUAAAGGGUGUGUAGGUGGCGCCGUUAGUCGGGUGUGAAAUUUCGGAGCUUAACUCCGAAACUGCAUUCGAUACUGCGGUGCUUGAGGACUGGAGAGGAGACUGGAAUUUACGGUGUAGCAGUGAAAUGCGUAGAGAUCGUAAGGAAGACCAGUGGCGAAGGCGGGUCUCUGGACAGUUCCUGACACUGAGGCACGAAGGCCAGGGGAGCAAACGGG
rnacentral:rRNA from 1 species